rnacentral:rRNA from 1 species
GGCGAACGCUGGCGGCGUGCUUAACACAUGCAAGUCGAACGGAAAGGCCCUGCUUUUGUGGGGUGCUCGAGUGGCGAACGGGUGAGUAACACGUGAGUAACCUGCCCUUGACUUUGGGAUAACUUCAGGAAACUGGGGCUAAUACCGGAUAGGAGCUCCUGCUGCAUGGUGGGGGUUGGAAAGUUUCGGCGGUUGGGGAUGGACUCGCGGCUUAUCAGCUUGUUGGUGGGGUAGUGGCUUACCAAGGCUUUGACGGGUAGCCGGCCUGAGAGGGUGACCGGCCAAAUUGGGACUGAGAUACGGCCCAGACUACUACGGGAGGCAGCAGUGGGGAAUAUUGCACAAUGGGCGGAAGCCUGAUGCAGCAACGCCGCGUGCGGGAUGACGGCCUUCGGGUUGUAAACCGCUUUCGCCUGUGACGAAGCGUGAGUGACGGUAAUGGGUAAAGAAGCACCGGCUAACUACGUG